rnacentral:misc_RNA from 1 species
AGCAGCCGCGGUAAUUCCAGCUCCAAUAGCGUAUAUUAAAGUUGUUGCAGUUAAAAAGCUCGUAGUUGAAUUUCGGGAUCAAUACGUCGGUCGUGCUUCGGUACGUACUGGCGUAAUUGAUUUCUCCCUUCUGACGAACCAUGAUGUCAUUAACUUGGUGUCAUGGGAAAUCAGGACUGUUACUUUGAAAAAAUUAGAGUGUUUAAAGCAGGCUCACGCUUGAAUACAUUAGCAUGGAAUAAUGAAAUAGGACGUUCGAUCCUAUUUUGUUGGUUUUUAGGAUCAACGUAAUGAUUAAUAGGGAUAGUUGGGGGCAUUAGUAUUCAAUUGUCAGAGGUGAAAUUCUUGGAUUUAUUGAAGACUAACUACUGCGAAAGCAUUUGCCAAGGAUGUUUUCAUUAAUCAAGAACGAAAGUUAGGGGAUCGAAGACGAUCAGAUACCGUCGUAGUCUUAAACCAUAAACUAUGCCGACUAGGGAUCGGAUGAUGUUAAUUUUUAAUGACUCAUUCGGCGCCUUAA